UUCCUUUGCAAAUUUUAUUUGAAAAAUUAUUAUAUUUUCGGGUUAUUAAUAUAUAUAACUAUGAGUCAAGUUCGUAAAUUUAUCUAGUCGCGCCCCUAGUUAGAUAGAUAAUUUUAAGUUAUAAUUUAUAACUUUAGCAAAUAAAAACUCUUAUGCUCAAAAUUGGGCCUAAAUAAAUAUUUUCAUAAUUGGGCCUUAUCUAUUUAUCUAUGUUUCAUUGGGCUUGAAUUAAAUAUGAGCCCAUCACAUUUAGUAAAUCAUCAAUAUUUAUUCAUUAACUUUACUGACACUUGCUUUUGAGCAUAUACGUAUUUUCAUCUUUAGCCACUUAAUUUCUCUUUUCCUUUUUCAGCCACAUGAUUUUACUUAAAAAUCUUCAGCCACAAAUUUUUGAUAUUUUCAUGUAUCGAUUAAACCUGAUCUUGAAAAUAUUCAAUCUUGAACAGCAAGUUCAAUUACUCAGCCACAUAUUUCACUUUCAAAUUCUUGAAGAGCAAGUAAUUUAUCCUAUUUAAACCCCACUUUAUCAUCUCUCAAUUUAGAAGCAAGUCACCGACUUUUCCAUCUGAUUCUCUUCCCCAUAGAACUCAUUCUGCUAUUUCUCACUGCAGAGUUUCAAAUGGUGCGGCGCGACUAAGACAUGGAUUUUACUUUGAAUUAUCAGAAUUAACUUUCAAGUUCAAGUUCAAAAUUCAGGUGUGGGAUUUAUUUCAGUACAUGCUGUGGUUAAUUCUUGUCCAUUUUAAUAUUAUGUGUUUACCAUAUGUGAGUUGCAUUAAAUUAUAUCGCUAGGGGCCCGCUCAAUGGGUCCAGGACAUUAAAGUCCUUGGUAUGCCACAAUGCGAUUUCAUGUUAAAGUUAUGGUUGCAACCAGUCGCCAGGGGCCGGCUCAAUCGGUCCAGGACGGAAAGGUCCUUGGUAUGCCACCGUGCGACUUUCAGUCACGAAUGUAUUGAUCAUAUGUGAUUCUCAUUUUAUUAACGUGGACAAUGAUUGCAUGUUCCCACACUGAGUGUACCCUGUAUGCUCAUCCCAUACUUAACAUUUUCAGGUUUUAAAGGCCGGAGGCGCGUGGAAGGUCAAAUGGCGAAUCAAAUAUUUUGAAUUCAGUCUUUCUUAAAAAUGUUAUAUUUAGUAAAGUAAUUUUUGUUAAUAAAAUAUUUAUUUCACUAUUUUUCUUAUUAAAUAUUUAUUUAUAAUCAUGAUUUUCCGCGUGCGUUUUCAUGUAAAAUUAAAAUGGAUUUGGGUGUCACAAGGUGGUAUCAGAGCAGGUCUACUUUCCUGUAGACUCUGCAAAAUAAAAAUUUCAUAAAAUUUUUAAAAGUCGUGUGUGAGAAAGUCAUUCGACCACUGCGCGCUCCGACUCCAAGGUAAAAGUAUUUGACAAGUUUUCAAGGGGAUGAGUAUAAAUUAUUUACGUUGAAAGUAUGUUGUUUUGCUGCAAUGAUUGAAGUAUUAUCAGAAAGUUCAAGUUCAUUAUGCAAGUUAUUAUGAGAAAGUUCAGUAUUCAUGUUAUUAUGUUGAAGAUUAUUGCAGCUAUGAAUUGUUAAAUUUCGAGGACGAAAUUUUUUUAAGUGGGUAGGUUUGUCACAGCCCAAAACCAUUUACUUCCUUUGCAAAUUUUAUUUGAAAAAUUAUUAUAUUUUCGGGUUAUUAAUAUAUAUAACUAUGAGUCAAGUUCGUAAAUUUAUCUAGUCGCGCCCCUAGUUAGAUAGAUAAUUUUAAGUUAUAAUUUAUAACUUUAGCAAAUAAAAACUCUUAUGCUCAAAAUUGGGCCUAAAUAAAUAUUUUCAUAAUUGGGCCUUAUCUAUUUAUCUAUGUUUCAUUGGGCUUGAAUUAAAUAUGAGCCCAUCACAUUUAGUAAAUCAUCAAUAUUUAUUCAUUAACUUUACUGACACUUGCUUUUGAGCAUAUACGUAUUUUCAUCUUUAGCCACUUAAUUUCUCUUUUCCUUUUUCAGCCACAUGAUUUUACUUAAAAAUCUUCAGCCACAAAUUUUUGAUAUUUUCAUGUAUCGAUUAAACCUGAUCUUGAAAAUAUUCAAUCUUGAACAGCAAGUUCAAUUACUCAGCCACAUAUUUCACUUUCAAAUUCUUGAAGAGCAAGUAAUUUAUCCUAUUUAAACCCCACUUUAUCAUCUCUCAAUUUAGAAGCAAGUCACCGACUUUUCCAUCUGAUUCUCUUCCCCAUAGAACUCAUUCUGCUAUUUCUCACUGCAGAGUUUCAAAUGGUAAUUUUAAGUUUUAAUAGCUAUGUAAUUCCAUUUCAGUACAUCAACUAUCCUAUUUUUCUGCAUAAACCAAACCCCCAUGAAUUCUUCUUCUCUUUUAGAAAAAUUAUUUCUUUUAGAAAACUAUUAAACAGCAGAUGCAUAUUCAUUGAAUUUUACAAGAAAGAAACUCAGAUUUAGAAACUUAGAUUGAUAAGGGAGUUGGGAUGAGUUGGGGUGAGGAGUUGCUCGCCGGAGCCAUGACCGCCGCUGCAUGUGAGAGGCGGAGGCGGCGGCGCGGUGGCCUUGACCGCUGCUGGGCUGUUCCGGUCGGGGAGAGGGCUGCUGAAGGACUGCUGCUAUUGACCAAACGAGGGAGAGAGGAGGGUGAAGGUGAUGCCGGGCAGGAGAGGGUGGUGGCUGGCGGCGAGGGUCGCCGGAGAAGGGUGGACGCCGCUGUUGGGUGCGGUGGGGGAGAGUGAGAGGGAGACUAGAGGUGAGGAAAGGGAGAGAGGGCGGCGGCGGCAGUACUGGAAGGGGAGGCGGCUGGGCGCGCCUCUGUUGAUACAGGGACGGCGGGGUGGCGUUGCGGUCGGACAGGAGAGAGGAAGGAAGCGGAGCCGCCGGCCUCCGGGGACGGCGCUGCCGUCCGGUGGCGGCGGCAGGAGGGCGCAGAAAGGGUGGGGUGAGCGGCUGAGAGAGAGGGAGUGAAGAGGGUGCGUGAGUUUGUGAAGUAUGGCGUGUGUGUGUGUGAGACUUUUAAAUUAGGGAAAAAGGAAAAUGGGCUUUGGGUUUAGGCUUAGGUUAAUGGGGCUUAAUUUUAUUAAGUGAUUGGACUCUUUUUAAAUAUCAUAUGGACUUCAUAUUUUAAAUUUUCAUUAUUACAUUGGACCUGAUUUUAUUAAAACCCAAAAUAAGCAUGCAUUUUUAUUAUUUAUUAGACCAAUUAUUUUUCAAACGAUUUUGAAAGUUUUAUAAAAUUUUCUUAAUUUUAAAUAUUUUUCAAAUAUAUUUAGGCCCUUAUAUGUUAUUAUUUGAAUUUAUUUGACUAGGUGCGGCGCGACUAAGACAUGGAUUUUACUUUGAAUUAUCAGAAUUAACUUUCAAGUUCAAGUUCAAAAUUCAGGUGUGGGAUUUAUUUCAGUACAUGCUGUGGUUAAUUCUUGUCCAUUUUAAUAUUAUGUGUUUACCAUAUGUGAGUUGCAUUAAAUUAUAUCGCUAGGGGCCCGCUCAAUGGGUCCAGGACAUUAAAGUCCUUGGUAUGCCACAAUGCGAUUUCAUGUUAAAGUUAUGGUUGCAACCAGUCGCCAGGGGCCGGCUCAAUCGGUCCAGGACGGAAAGGUCCUUGGUAUGCCACCGUGCGACUUUCAGUCACGAAUGUAUUGAUCAUAUGUGAUUCUCAUUUUAUUAACGUGGACAAUGAUUGCAUGUUCCCACACUGAGUGUACCCUGUAUGCUCAUCCCAUACUUAACAUUUUCAGGUUUUAAAGGCCGGAGGCGCGUGGAAGGUCAAAUGGCGAAUCAAAUAUUUUGAAUUCAGUCUUUCUUAAAAAUGUUAUAUUUAGUAAAGUAAUUUUUGUUAAUAAAAUAUUUAUUUCACUAUUUUUCUUAUUAAAUAUUUAUUUAUAA